GGAUGAGAGGGCAAUCUGGCUGUGACAUGUCACCCCAUUGAUUGCCAGGGUUGAUUCAGCAGAUCUGACUAAUGAGGCAGGUGUCCCCUUCUUCCCUCACUGCUCUCUGUGCAUCCCUCCCAAAGUGGUGCACUCAGUGGAAGAGGACCACAAUCCCUGAUAGAGGAGGACUCAUCUUCCAUCAAGGGUGGACAAGUAGCUGUGCUCCCCUGAUAGAACCUUCACACAAGCUCUCGAGAGAUAUGGACUAGUAGAUGCAAUUAGGUCAAUAGGAAUAUGUUGUUCAAGGGAAACUGGGAUCCUGGCUCUCUCAUACCACUU
ensembl:misc_RNA 7SK 7SK RNA